UACGUAGGGGUCGAGCGUUGUCCGGAGUUACUGGGCGUAAAGCGUGUGCAGGCGGCUCUUUGCGCCCGGCGUGAAAGCCCCCGGCUCAACCGGGGAGAGUCGUCGGGGACGGGUGAGCUUGAGGGUAUCAGGGGCUGGUGGAAUUCCCGGUGUAGUGGUGAAAUGCGUAGAUAUCGGGAGGAACACCCGUGGCGAAGGCGGCCAGCUGGGAUACACCUGACGCUGAGACACGAAGGCGUGGGGAGCGAACGGG
rnacentral:rRNA from 1 species